ACUAAACCCUAGGAAGUUUAAAAAAUUAGGUAUCAGUUCAGAAUAUAAAUGCUUAGGUUCAACAUGAGAGGAGAUUGUAACAGAUACUACCUGCAAAAUUCUUUCAAGUUCAAAUAUUGGUGAUAUUCUUUUAUUCUUCCUGUACAGUUGGGAAUCUUACCAUUGAAGUUCCAUCCACAACAAUGAAGUAGAACUUUUUAAAAAGAUACUAAAGACAUUUUUGGUAC